rnacentral:tRNA from 1 species
ACUCUCUUAGUAUAAUCAAAGUACAACUGACUUCCAAUUAGUUGGCCCUAGUAUAAGCCUGGGAGAGAGUA